rnacentral:hammerhead_ribozyme from 1 species
AUCUAGAUGACGAUUCCAAAAUAGGACGAAGUGCGCAUCCUAGAU